UCCUAAGUCUAAUCUAGGCAUAACUUGUAAUUAAUUAAGUCUUGGCGCAUAGCUUCCAGAUGCUCUUUCUUUGAAUCUACACCAUUUGAUAAGUCUGCGACAAAGCUUGCAUCGAAUUCCUUGGCUGCAAUAGAAGACUCUAGCUUUGCUUCUUUGGCUUCAUUCUCGACUUCCUCUAAAAGACGCUCCAAAGCCUGUGCCUUUCUACACAAUUCUUUUAUCUUCUUCUUCAUGUUUUGUAGUGAUUGCCGAAUAGAGGAUGAUCCUUUAACCUUCUCGUCUUCUUCAAGCAUGACAUAUGUGAGAUGUCCCCUGCUACAUAAAAUAAUUCUUCUCUUGCGACUUCCUCAUUCAUGUCAUGAAGCAUCUAUCGUGCUUUGUCAUACGAAGUAGCAAUGUCAAAGAAGUCGUACAACAACUUUCUCAAUGGGGAAAUAUCCACGUCCUUACAAUCCAUCUCCUUGAUGAUUACCUGGACUUCAUCUUUAAGGGAUGAAGCACAAUCAACAUCGCACUUCGAAAGCUUACCUUGAAUUACGGUCCAAAGAGAGAAAAUAUAGUUUUUCUGAGCAUCUAGGACUACCUUCUUUCCAUUAAACACUGACAUAACAACUAAUGGGGGCUUACAUAUGUCAUAAUCCAAGGUUGCUUUAACCUUGUUACAAGAAACAGAAGUUCGCCCUACUUUCAUUUUAAUUGUGGAAGGUGGUUCCAUUAGAUCUGGACCAGAUACAGACUCAUCACUAUCAUGUGACUCUUCACGCUGCAGGGUUGUAACAUUAUUUGGAUGCAUAAGAAAAAAAGAAUUAAUAAAAAAGGGGGUCAUGAAGAUACACUUGGUAAAAUAGAUGUCCUAAUCAUACCUCCUUAGCAAGAGCUGAUAUAGUCCUCAAAGGAAUAUCCGUGUCAUCAUGAAUUUCAACCACCGGUAGACUAAUACCUUUUGCAUCAUCGAAAUGUACCAUUACUCUUUUCCAGUAGCGGUCUCUGCUACUACGCUAACUUUCAUCUUGGGACAAUCUUUUGGAGACAUGAGUAGUUUGAGUAGGAGUCUUACCCUCGUAUACCGCCGGAGGUGUGUGAGAUCUCUUAUUUACAUGUUGAUUUGGCAACUUGGAAUUUGAAGGAGAAACAUCAGUGAUAAUGGCCUCAUUUGUAGGUACUUCAUCGGAAUUCCCCAAAUCUAUGACGAUAGUCGACCCAGCGAUGUCCAUCAAAGUCUGUAGGUGAUGACCAAGGAAAUCCCCAUGAGUCUUUUCCACCAAGUUUGAUAGUCGGUUCCGAAGAACUCACCU
rnacentral:lncRNA from 1 species